UCAAUUUGAUAAACAAACGCGAUCGACAACGUAGUGUUCUUACAUUGCCAGAUGACACAAUUUUUAACACUCGGAAGUUAAUGGUCUUUUCGUGUUUAGUCAUUCGUUCUCAUACCACUGACCGAGGUAUACGUUUUCUAGUUUGUUUGUGUAUAAAGUAGAAUUAUCGGUCAUUUUUAUUACGUUGUACUGAGAGAAGUUGUACGCGUCGAAUACUAGAUGUUUUUUAGCGUGCCAUUAACGUUCAAUUUACGUACCAUUACACAUUGUUCAAUAAAUGAGACAAAUUUGGAAAAUUGGCGUUUCUUCUGGAUGCUCAAAAAACUAGUGUUUUCGCUCUCUCUGCAACAAGUAAGGGGAAACUAGGUGACUGAAAGACUAGGUGAAAGAGAAAACGAUUGGUAACUCAUAUGACAAUAUUGAGGCAAGCAAAAAGUUUCUGAAAACUUAUUCAAUGGCUUCCCAAGCAGUCCGCAUCCAGUAAUUCAAUUUUAUUGUUUUAUCGUUCGGCAAGAGCAGCGCCCUGGCGACCAACUGGUCAGAUACUUGACGGAUCAACUGCAGAAGUUGGAAAUGAAAUGUGAGGCGUACGAGGAUGAGAAACGAAACCGAGGAGGAAGCCAAGGGAAGAGAGGCAAGCCUGGCUUUAGAACUAGAAAACUACAAGGCUCAAGUGAAGGAGCUGAAAAAACGUUUGGCUGAUUCGGACGGAUUUGAGAAUUCGCCUAAGUGAAUUUGGGUUUUCCAUUUGUCAGUUUUCGGAAUGAAUUACAUUCUAUGUAACAUUAAA